UACAGAGGGGGCAAGCGUUGUUCGGAAUUACUGGGCGUAAAGGGCGCGUAGGCGGCCCGCUAAGUCGAACGUGAAAUCCCCGAGCUCAACUCGGGAACUGCGUCCGAUACUGGCGGGCUUGAAUCCGGGAGAGGGAUGCGGAAUUCCAGGUGUAGCGGUGAAAUGCGUAGAUAUCGGGAGGAACAUCAGUGGCGAAGGCGGCCAUCUGGGACAACACUGACGCUGAAGCACGAAAGCGUGGGGAGCAAACAGG
rnacentral:rRNA from 1 species